AUUGAACGCUGGCGGCAUGCCUUACACAUGCAAGUCGAACGGCAGCAUGAUCUAGCUUGCUAGAUUGAUUGCGAGUGUCGCACGGGUGAGUAAUACAUCGGAACUUGCCCUGUUGUUGGUGAUAACUAGUCGAAAGAUUAGCUAAUACCGCAUACGACCUGAGGGUGUAAGUGGGUGACCGCAUGGCCUCAUUCUAUUUUAGCUGCCGAUGUCUGAUUAGCUAGUUGGUGUGGUAAAGGCUCACCAAGGCUACGAUCAGUAGAUGGUCUGAGAGGACGAUAAGACAAACUGGAACUGAGACACGGAAAAGAGAACUACGGGAGGCAGCAGUGGGGAAUAUUGGACAAUGGGCGGAAGCAUGAUACAGCAAAGCCGAGUGUGAGAAGAAGGACUUAGGGUUGUAAAGAAAUUUUGUGAGGAAAGAAAAGGAGGAGGUUAAAACAUGGGGAGGAUGACGGUAACGGAAGAAUAAGGAACGGCUAACUACGUG
rnacentral:rRNA from 1 species